GGAUUUAGCUCAGUGGUAGAGCACUUGCCUAGCAAGCACAAGGUCCUGGGUUCGGUCCCCAGCUCCG
rnacentral:tRNA from 1 species